GCAACCACAACCGGGUUAACAAAAAUGGGGUGAUUAACCAGCAUAAUGGGAGCAGUAGAUGUGGCUUGGUUUGCAACCAUCCCAGCCAAGAGUUGUUGGAGCUCUUCCUGAAUCACACCCCUCAAAUCAUCGAUAACAGUGUUCUUCAGGAUCUCAACGUCUUAUUUGUUAGCUCUUUCAUUGGCCAUCUCUUCGGUAGCUUAGCAUCUUGGUUUUUCAAGGUGC
rnacentral:lncRNA from 1 species